rnacentral:lncRNA from 10 species
UUUACAUACAGGUGUGAGCCAUAUUUACUUACUUAUUUUUACAUACAGGUGUGAGCCAUAUUUACUUAUUUUUACAUACAGGUGUGAGCCAUAUUUACUUACUUAUUUUUACAUACAAUACAAACACUUUAAAUAAAGUUGAAGAUCAUCUCCAUGGACCAGGUGGUCAAGCCGAACACCCAGGAUCCAGCUGUCAAGUUCAGGGUAGCCCCUGAGCUUCUCACUCUGACUCCAACAGGGUGAGCUUGCUAUCCUUGUGGCACAGGGCCUUUUGCAUUGUGGAUGAUGGAGCGGCUCGUAUAGUCCAUAAGUUUUGUGCGUAGCUGUGUACCCUGUCCCUGUGAGCUGGUUCUGCCCGGCACCUCGGUGACCUCGAGGAAAGAAGCUGAGAGACAGAGUCUUGCUUUGUCACCCAGGCUGGAGGGCAGUGGCACCAUCAUAGCUCACUGCAGACUCGAACUCCUGGGCUCAAGGGAUCCUCCUGCCUCGGCCUCCAAAAAUGACGGAGUCUUGCUGUGUCACCCAGGCUGGAGUGCAGUGGUAC